rnacentral:rRNA from 1 species
AGAGUUUGAUACUGGCUCAGAACGAACGCUGGCGGCAGGCCUAACACAUGCAAGUCGAGCGCACUCUUCGGAGUGAGCGGCGGACGGGUUAGUAACGCGUGGGAACAUACCCUUCUCUACGGAAUAGCCUCGGGAAACUGAGAGUAAUACCGUAUACGCCCUUCGGGGGAAAGAUUUAUCGGAGAUGGAUUGGCCCGCGUUAGAUUAGAUAGUUGGUGGGGUAAUGGCCUACCAAGUCUACGAUCUAUAGCUGGUUUGAGAGGAUGAUCAGCAACACUGGGACUGAGACACGGCCCAGACUCCUACGGGAGGCAGCAGUGGGGAAUCUUAGACAAUGGGCGCAAGCCUGAUCUAGCCAUGCCGCGUGAGUGACGAAGGCCUUAGGGUCGUAAAGCUCUUUCGCCAGGGAUGAUAAUGACAGUACCUGGUAAAGAAACCCCGGCUAACUCCGUGCCAGCAGCCGCGGUAAUACGGAGGGGGUUAGCGUUGUUCGGAAUUACUGGGCGUAAAGCGUACGUAGGCGGAUUAGAAAGUAUGGGGUGAAAUCCCGAGGCUCAACCUCGGAACUGCCUUGUAAACUACUAGUCUAGAGUUCGAGAGAGGUGAGUGGAAUUCCAAGUGUAGAGGUGAAAUUCGUAGAUAUUUGGAGGAACACCAGUGGCGAAGGCGGCUCACUGGCUCGAUACUGACGCUGAGGUACGAAAGUGUGGGGAGCAAACAGGAUUAGAUACCCUGGUAGUCCACACCGUAAACGAUGAAUGCCAGACGUCGGGGGGCUUGCCCUU